UACGGGAGGCAGCAGUAAGGAAUAUUGGUCAAUGGGCGAAAGCCUGAACCAGCCAUGCCGCGUGCAGGAAGACGGCCCUACGGGUUGUAAACUGCUUUUGCAGGGGAAUAAACCUCAUUACGAGUAAUGAGUUGAAUGUACUCUGAGAAUAAGGAUCGGCUAACUCCGUGCCAGCAGCCGCGGUAAU
rnacentral:rRNA from 1 species